rnacentral:ncRNA from 1 species
GAGCGAUAAAGGCGAACCCCGAGUGCUCAGGGGGCGCAAAGUAACAGGGUCUUUCUGUGUACAAGGAGGUACGACUGAAUAAAACAGGGACACACCGAUGCGUCUCUGUUGCUGACAAAGGAAUGGGACUGAGAAGAGACAGCCUUGCUGCCGAA